GAAUACAUGGACAACGUACCCUGGACUCGGGGAUAGCGGCGGAACUUCGGUUCCUUUGCGAAAGCGCCGGUAAUACCCGAUGACCCCGCGGGAUCACAUGGCCCUGCGGGCAAAGCUCCGACGGUCCGGGAGCGGUCCAUGUCCUAUCAGCUUGUUGGUGGGGUAACGGCCCACCAAGGCUUCGACGGGUACCGGGUGUGAGAGCAUGACCCGGCACAUCGGAACUGAGACACUGUCCGGACACCUACGGGUGGCUGCAGCAACGAAUAUUCCGCAAUGGGCGCAAGCCUGACGGAGCGACGCCGCGUGCAGGAUGAAGUCCCUCGGGAUGUAAACUGCUGUCAGGGGUUAGGAAGUUCUGACCAACCCCAAAGGAAGCCUCGGCUAACUCNGUGCCAGCAGCCGCGGUAAUACGGAGGAGGCGAGCGUUGUUCGGAAUCACUGGGCUUAAAGCGGGUGUAGGCGGGGUGGCAGGUGCUCUGUGAAAGCCCUCGCUCACCGAAGGAAUUGCAGGGCAAACCGCACUCUUGAAGCGGGUAGGG
rnacentral:rRNA from 1 species